UAUUGUUGGGUCAUCUUUGGCUUUCUAAUGGCUUCACCCAAAUCCAAGCUUGCUUUCUAUUCUCUUCUUGCACUACUUCUCUCCACCAUUUUCAUGGGAAUUCAAGGUGAAAAUGAUUCAUGUGUGGGAGACUGUAAAAAUCUCCAUGAAUGUGUGAAGAAAUGUGAUGCAUGGGGUUAUGAUCCAAGUCUUGCUGAAUGCUUUCCUAGGUGGGAAGCACCUAUUGGUGACUGUUGUUGUAAGAGGACCUACUUUUGAUCUUCUAUGUAACAAAUCUAAUGAAGGUAAAUUUGGGAUUGAAAUUUGUUAUCUAAUAUGAUA